rnacentral:rRNA from 1 species
AGUAACGGCGAGUGAAGCGGCAAUAGCUCAAAUUUGAAAUCUGGCUCUUUCAGGGUCCGAGUUGUAAUUUGCAGAGGGCGCUUUGGCGUCGGCAGCAGCCUAAGUUCCUUGGAACAGGUCAUCAUAGAGGGUGAGAAUCCCGUAUGUGGCUGCUUGUCUUCGCCGUGUAAAGCCCCUUCGAUGAGUCGAGUUGUUUGGGA